rnacentral:misc_RNA from 1 species
UUAAAACUCAAUUGACGUGAUUUUUCAUAUUUAAAUUUAACUUAAAUAUGUAAAUAAUUUAAAUAUUUAAUCAAUACCAAUUCAACUAGACUUUAUCCUAGCUUCUUAAAUAGGGAUUCUAUUUUUGUCUCAGCUAGGGGACAUGGAAAAUCAAUGAUAAAUGAGUUAAAGGUUCACAUUCACCCUCGAUGAGAACCCUUUGACGUUUAAGUCAAAAAGGAGAUUAGUUCUAGAAAUAGGGUGACCAUGAAAAAAGUGUAAAGAGAAUAGGGGAGGAGGAAAAUAAAUGUAAGGAGUAAGAAAAAGAAUAAAUGAAUACUAUCCCUCAUAGGUAUCUUUUUCCAAUAGAUGUGUGCCAUCUAUCAAUGUCAGAGUAAGUGAUUGAAUUAUUGGUGAAUAUACAUAUAUUUACUUUUGUAAGGUGAAUUUCCAUUUUAGGGAAGUGGGCAUAGGUUAUCGUAAAGGUUAGCUUGUGCCUUAAGAUUUGUUCAAUGAUAUUAGUUGUUUUUAUAAUUAUUUUUAUAAUUAUUAAGAUUAAGGUUUGCUUUGAUUUAGGAAUCGCCAAUUAUGGUUUCUGAAUUAUAGGUUCAAUGAAAUCAUGAACUUGAAUUAAAUUGUCAUGAAAAAGUUUGAGAGACGAUUUCUAAAUCGCCGUUCUGGUUCUAGUCCGAUUUAAAAUGAUUUGACAUAUGGUUCAAAUUAAAGAAGAACGAUUCAAAACAGUUUAGAGGGCUGUUUAGAGGCAGCUUAAGUGUGAUUUGGAUGAAAAAAAUUGAAAGAAAAAGUUUAUUAAUUUGAAUUAAGUUAUACUUAUAAAAAUUUUAAUUUUUCUUGUAAAUCUUUCAAUUAAAAUAAGAUAAGAAAAAA